UUGCCACUGAUAUAUUAUUCCCUGGUCCCUCUAAGAUCAUGCCUGUAAAAACUACUAAACAAUAUCAUUUUGGUAAAUAAUGUUUGGGUAAAUAAAAGAUGCAGAUCCCCUGAAAAUGCAUUAAUGAAAUUAGGAUUUUCUCGACUACUUUUAAUGAAGCUCUCAUUACCGGUUUCAUAUGAACAUUUUGAAACAAAGCGAUAGUAUUUAUUGAAGAAAUAGAACAUAGUACAAAGCCACAAAAGUGUCGAAAUGAGUACAACAUCUCCAGUGACUAAAUGAAUUGAUCUAGAGAGGAUUACGUCUAAACCAACAAAUAUUCAAACUCCUGAUUCAGCAACCCGAAGCACUUGUACUUAGACUAACAAUAUAAAUCCAUUGUCCAACGACAGAUCCGUAUCGCAGCCGAAAGCAAAAUACAAACCAAGAAACCCCUAAUGAGUAAUAGACUAAAACAGACAAAGAUAUCCAAAGCGCCAUACCGGCUAAACCGAAACCCACAUAAACUAACAAUUUCCAUUAUUGUAACUCCAAACUCUAAACUGGAGCCAAAACCCUGUGUAUGUGGGCCAAAAACGACAACUAAAUCAUGGCGACAAUGAUGUUUCAUUGUGGUUGCUUCAACAACCUCCGAAAUACACAAGAGUUCAAGCGAAAUCACCCAAGUCGACCAAAACUAAUUGUCAGUCCUUGAGAAAAGUAUAGAUAUAGAAUAGACUUAUAUAAGAAUUUCUGAAUCUACAAAAAAACUAAACCAAAACUCAUGCAAAAACAAAAGAACCUCACAAAAUCAAAGCAAAAAAGGAAUUCAAGGGAAAAAAAAUUGAAGAAGGGGAUGGCGAGAAGGGGGAGGGAAGGGAUGGGAAGCCAUGGAAGGAAAAACAAAUUAACUCGCACUGGUGGGGUUCAGAGGGAAGAGAGAGAAGGAGGAGAUAAGGGAAAGGAAGGGGAGAGUGUUCUGCGGGGAAGAGUGACUUCUGAAAUGCUAAAGUUAUUAGGGUAACAUUUAUUUUAAGAAUAUUAAUUUGAUUAUUACAUGUUGUUAG
rnacentral:lncRNA from 1 species